UGCAUAGUCAUAAAGAAUAGUUAGUACCAGACUUAGUAGCAAUACAUAUUUGUGCCUCCUGUCAAUCCCUUAACCAUGUUAUGACCUCAUGGUGAACCCACUAGGUUGUACAGGAGAAAAUGACACUGGCGUUGUUUUCUGUCCUCUGUGAUGGGCAUAAUAAAAGUGUUUCUGAUAUGUUCUGUACUGAAACAUAAUUCUAAGUUUGUUUUCUUUUUCUUUGACAUUAGUCAUUACGGCAGAGUUGUGGACUUGGAAAGCAUCCGGAAAGUAUAAUAAUUUAGUUGAACCCUUUGUUUUCCGCCAUGUAGAAACUGAAGUACCGGUAGAUUCAACGUUCACCUAAGAAGAUGCACUCCUACUUUCUUUAUGGAGUACUUGUGCAAUUGUUGAAAGUUAAAUAAAAAUGAACAAAUCCACCUACUUAAUCCACCCAAUCCCAACCCAAGAGAAAAAACAAGCAGCCGGUGUGGAUAUUUUGCUCUUACAGCGCCUUCAGCAAUCUGACCGAGGGUCUCGCAUCGUGUCAAUAUUGUGUUCUGCUGGUGUAAUAAUCGCUAUGGAGUUCUCUGGAGACCACACCUGGCUGGCUGUGUUGAGUUCUGAGCCUCUCAAUUGCAUGCAAGAGGCUGGAAAGAUUUGAGAGAAGAUUGCUAAAAGUACUUCAGGGGCCCUGGAGGCACUGAUUUAGGAGGCGGAGGAAAGACAUACAUGCGAAUAUGUCAACCCUGCACUAACUAAAUAGAGAAUGUAGAGAAAACAGACUUCCGGUUUAUGAAGAACCGAAAUACCAGAAACAUCCCAAAGGG
rnacentral:lncRNA from 1 species